AUUGAACGCUGGCGGCAGGCCUAACACAUGCAAGUCGAGCGGAUGACGGGAGCUUGCUCCUUGAUUCAGCGGCGGACGGGUGAGUAAUGCCUAGGAAUCUGCCUGGUAGUGGGGGACAACGUUUCGAAAGGAACGCUAAUACCGCAUACGUCCUACGGGAGAAAGCAGGGGACCUUCGGGCCUUGCGCUAUCAGAUGAGCCUAGGUCGGAUUAGCUUGUUGGUGAGGUAAUGGCUCACCAAGGCGACGAUCCGUAACUGGUCUGAGAGGAUGAUCAGUCACACUGGAACUGGGACACGGUCCAGACUCCUACGGGAGGCAGCAGUGGGGAAUAUUGGACAAUGGGCGAAAGCCUGAUCCAGCCAUGCCGCGUGUGUGAAGAAGGUCUUCGGAUUGUAAAGCACUUUAAGUUGGGAGGAAGGGUUGUAGAUUAAUACGCUGCAAUUUUGACGUUACCGACAGAAUAAGCACCGGCUAACUCUGUG
rnacentral:rRNA from 1 species